CGUGGGUAACCUGCCUUAUAGUGGGGGAUAGCCUUUCGAAAGGAAGAUUAAUACCGCAUAAGAUUGUAGUAUCGCAUGAUAUAGCAAUUAAAGGAGCAAUUCGCCAUAAGAUGGACCCGCGUCGCAUUAGCUAGUUGGUGAGGUAAUGGCUCACCAAGGCGACGAUGCGUAGCCGACCUGAGAGGGUGAUCGGCCACAUUGGGACUGAGACACGGCCCAGACUCCUACGGGAGGCAGCAUG
rnacentral:rRNA from 1 species